rnacentral:rRNA from 1 species
UACAGGGGGGGCAAGCGUUGUUCGGAAUUACUGGGCGUAAAGGGCUUGUAGGUUGCCGACUAAGUCCGACGUGAAAUCCCCAGGCUUAACCUGGGAACUGCGUCGGAUACUGGUUGGCUUGAAUCCGGGAGAGGGAUGCGGAAUUCCAGGUGUAGCGGUGAAAUGCGUAGAUAUCAGGAGGAACACCAAUGGCGAAGGCAGCACUCUGGGACGUGACUGACGCUGAGACGCGAAAGCGUGGGGAGCAAACAGG